rnacentral:rRNA from 1 species
AACGAACGCUGGCGGCAUGCCUAACACAUGCAAGUCGAACGAUUGCCUUCGGGUGAUAGUGGCGCACGGGUGCGUAACGCGUGGGAAUCUGCCCUUAGGUUCGGAAUAACAGCUGGAAACGGCUGCUAAUACCGGAUGAUAUCGCGAGAUCAAAGAUUUAUCGCCUGAGGAUGAGCCCGCGUUGGAUUAGGUAGUUGGUGGGGUAAAGGCCUACCAAGCCGACGAUCCAUAGCUGGUCUGAGAGGAUGAUCAGCCACACUGGGACUGAGACACGGCCCAGACUCCUACGGGAGGCAGCAGUGGGGAAUAUUGGACAAUGGGCGCAAGCCUGAUCCAGCAAUGCCGUGUGAGUGAUGAAGGCCCUAGGGUUGUAAAGCUCUUUUAACCGGGAAGAUAAUGACUGUACCGGGAGAAUAAGCCCCGGCUAACUCCGUG